UACGUAGGUCCCGAGCGUUGUCCGGAUUUAUUGGGCGUAAAGCGAGCGCAGGCGGUUUGAUAAGUCUGAAGUAAAAGGCUGUGGCUUAACCAUAGUAUGCUUUGGAAACUGUCAAACUUGAGUGCAGAAGGGGAGAGUGGAAUUCCAUGUGUAGCGGUGAAAUGCGUAGAUAUAUGGAGGAACACCGGUGGCGAAAGCGGCUCUCUGGUCUGUAACUGACGCUGAGGCUCGAAAGCGUGGGGAGCAAACA
rnacentral:rRNA from 1 species